rnacentral:rRNA from 1 species
CGACGACCGGCGGAUGGGUGCGUAACGCGUAUGCAACUUGCCUCACAGAGGAGAAUAACCCGGAGAAAUCCGGACUAAUGCUCCAUACACUCUUAAGUACGCCUGUACAUGAGAGGAAAGAUUUAUCGCUGUGAGAUAGGCAUGCGUCCUAUUAGGUAGUUGGUGAGGUAACGGCUCACCAAGCCGACGAUAGGUAGGGGUGCUGAGAGGCAGAUCCCCCACAUUGGGACUGAGACACGGCCCAAACUCC